CCUACGGGAGGCAGCAGUGAGGAAUAUUGGUCAAUGGGCGCGAGCCUGAACCAGCCAAGUAGCGUGAAUGAUGACUGCCCUACGGGUUGUAAACUUCUUUUGUAAAGGAAUAAAGUGAGGCACGUGUGCCUUUUUGUAUGUACUUUAUGAAUAAGGAUCGGCUCACUCCGUGCCAGCAGCCGCGGUAAUACGGAGGAUCCGAGCUUUAUCCGGAUUUAUUGGGUUUAAAGGGAGCGUAGAUGGGUUGUUAAGUCAGUUGUGAAAGUUUGCGGCUCAACCGUAAAAUUGCAAUUGAUACUGGAAGCCUUGAGUACAGUGGAGGUAGGCGGAAUUCGUGGUGUAGCGGUGAAAUGCUUAGAUAUCACGAAGAACUCCGAUUGCGAAGGCAGCUUACUAAACUGCAACUGACAUUGAGGCUCGAAAGUGUGGGGAGCAAACAGGAUUAGAUACCCGGGUAGUC
rnacentral:rRNA from 1 species